AAAUUGAAGAGUUUGAUCAUGGCUCAGAUUGAACGCUGGCGGCAGGCCUAACACAUGCAAGUCGA
rnacentral:rRNA from 24 species